rnacentral:rRNA from 1 species
CAGCAGCCACGGUAAUACGAAGGGUGCAAGCGUUACUCGGAAUUACUGGGCGUAAAGCGUGCGUAGGUGGUGGUUUAAGUCCGUUGUGAAAGCCCUGGGCUCAACCUGGGAAUUGCAGUGGAUACUGGGUCACUAGAGUGUGGUAGAGGAUAGUGGAAUUUCCGGUGUAGCAGUGAAAUGCGUAGAGAUCGGAAGGAACAUCUGUGGCGAAGGCGACUAUCUGGGCCAACACUGACACUGAGGCACGAAAGCGUGGGGAGCAAACAGGAUUAGAUACCCCAGUAGUCCCUGUCUCUUAUAU